rnacentral:rRNA from 1 species
UACGUAGGGGGCAAGCGUUAUCCGGAUUUACUGGGUGUAAAGGGAGCGUAGACGGUGAUGCAAGUCAGAAGUGAAAGCCCGCGGCUCAACUGCGGGACUGCUUUUGAAACUGUAUGACUAGAGUGCAGGAGAGGUAAGCGGAAUCCCUAGUGUAGCGGUGAAAUGCGUAGAUAUUAGGAGGAACACCAGUGGCGAAGGCGGCUUACUGGACUGUAACUGACGUUGAGGCUCGAAAGCGUGGGGAGCAAACAGG